rnacentral:lncRNA from 1 species
CUUUGAUGAUCAAGUCUGUUUAGCACUGAGGGAGCUGGCCAUUACAGACUUUACAUUCAUAUCAAGAUCUGGAGUAUUGAAUUGGGACAAACUGUAUUCAGCUGCUAUUCAAACAUAGGAGGAGCAAAGAUGGGGGAGUUUCUGCUCCACUCACCCAUCACCACCACCCAGCAACUCUGCAGUUUCUGUGCUUGAUCUUGGAGAACAAUUGGUAAAGGGGCUGUGAAGAAAGAAAAGAGAAGUGCGCGCAUGUGCGCACACAUACUUUUUCACAAAAGAAGGGAGGAAGAUUGGUGAUCCUAAGAAAAGCAACUUAAAACAUCUCACAGGUAGAAAUGAGAGCACUUCCUAGUCUAGCUGUGUGAUCAGAAAGGCAUUUGAAAUCUUACAUUUAAAUGGCUUAGGCAGCUUUGCAGUUGCAUGGCAAUUUUGUGCAUUUGCAUUUAUGCAUUCAAAUAGGCAGUUUGAACAUAGUCGACAGUAUCCGACAUAAUCCAUUUAGGUAUUUCUGUCACACUGCACUUUCUUAAAGCAACAAGUCUGGGGACA